rnacentral:lncRNA from 1 species
GUAAAUAGGGAAAAAAGAAGGAAGAAAAAGGAGUGUGCAUGAGUGGCACGAGCUACGAGCAGGGGAAGAGUAUGCUUGCAAGCGGCUUGGGCCGCAAGUAAAGGAGAAAGAAAAAUAUGCGUGUGUUUCUACCAUCACUUGCGAGAAAAAGAGAGGUGAUUAACAAGCAAGUAGGCCACGAGCGGGGGAGGCAGAGUGCAUGUCUGACUAUACCCAUAUGGCGUAGGGAAAGGCUCAUGCACGUUGUGCCCGUGCAGGCGAGAGAGAGUGGGAAUGUUGUGUACGACUAUGUCACGAGCGUGAGGGAGACGAGCCAUGGCUGCCCUCGUAAGCUCCGAGCCCAAUUCCUAUGAGAUCCAUAGGAUUUGGGCUUGAGGAGAGUGAGUGAAGGAGAGAUUGAGCCUCUAUUGUGCAUGGUUGGCUGCGUGCCACCGUGGAAGUGAGCGAGGAAAAGGAAAAAUAAGAGUGGUUGUAGUGGUGAUGCCUGUAAACACUUGUGACUGCGAGAUCCAUAAGAUCUGUGCGUGUGGCAUUCUGCCGUUAUGCGAAGGAGCUUCUAUAAAAGGUUCUUUGGGUGUUUGGUCAUGGUUUCCGUACACGAUAAUGAGGGGAAAUCAACCGUAGCCUGCAUCCUGUGCCUACUCUUACUGCUGCCUGGUAAAAUUUUCAUUUUUCAAUUAUUGUUGAUUGGGUUAAUGGGUCCAAUUGGGUCCAACUGAUUUAACCUAUUAUGGUCGGUCCUGUUAGACGAGUUCAGUUAUGUUUGACCGGUGAUCCACUAACCGAUUAUGUUUCUGUUGCAAGUUUCCAAAUCUGAUCCAAACGUCCUCGUGGUGAACUGGGAGCAUUUCUAAACAUGUGUAGAGUAGUAUAUUUAAUUAUUUAAUUAUUUUAAUAUAUGAUUUAAUUAAUUAAGAUGGUG